UGAGUUCAAAUUCGAUGCUAAG
rnacentral:siRNA from 1 species